GGUCCUCGCCGCACGAGGCCCCGUUUUUUUGGCGGGAAGGAGCCAAAAACGCGCCGAUUCGACCGCCCAGGUAAAAAUCGGCGAAGAAGGUGCGGGGUCCUCGGUUUCACCUCUGUGGAGCGCGGUUGGCCGAGGUUUAUCUUUUCUCCAGGAACUUUUCUCCCUUCCGAAUCCGAUACCGCCACCACGGCCGCCUCCCGCAGCGACGCGACACCGGGCUCCAUUAACCAUCCACCGUUCCACCGGUGAAGCGAACCCACCAAACCGCGCGCUACUCCUCAAACAACCUCACUACUCACGUGCGUGUCUAUUUACUCGUUCAUUUGUAUUUGUAUUUGUUUCCCCGGCAUGUUCGGCUCGUGCCCCCGGCUCCAAAAACGCGAGAGAUCACGAUGUGCGGAAUGAUUAUUCGCGCUUGAAAAUUUAUCGAUGCGAAAUUUAGUGCCAUGACAUGUGACGCCUUUUCGAGGGAAACUCAUCCAUCGAAAUUCUUAGUUUUCUUACUGCGCUCUCACUCUCAAAGCUGAUACUUGUAGGUGAUUAAAUUAUAGUGAUAAGGGUUGGUUCUGGUAAUGGAACAGUAAGCCGGUUUUUAGUGUUGAUCGAAGUGUAGUGAUCAGUGAUUGGUGCUUGGAUCGUGUAAACUAUUGGAUGAAGAUCAAGAUUACACCCUAGGAGUAACAUCAAAGUACGUUUGGAUAUAUUGUCACGAUGAAGCAGCUGUAUUACCCGGUCCGGCUCCACGCUUCCCUAUUUCUAGUCACACUUCUCUCCGCCUACUGCCACAGCGAUAGCAUCAGCAGUAAACCCAUCCACGUCCCGAAUAUAAACGAGCCAGUAUUAGAAUCGGGCUUCAGGCCCAUCGACAACGGUCGCGACAAAGAGGUCGUCAGGAAACGUGGCUUAGUCAUCGACGAACGGAUAUCCUUGAGCCAAGUCAAAAGGGCCGAUGAUGAACAUAACAUAGAGGCUGAGAUCCUCGGAUCAUCCGAGAGUGAAAACAAAUCUGUAGAAAGGGUCUCAAAAGAUUUGAGAAAUUUCCCGCCUUACCAACGUAGCUCGGAAUUCGCCAACAGAUGUGAUAACUGCAACGCCUUCCCGUGGAUACCAAUCGCCCGGGCCAUCCGCCUUCCACCCCCUUCGAACAUCAACACCCCUAGUGGCUACCCUCCACCACCACCUCAAGGUGGGUACCCUCCACACAACCAGGGAGGGUUCCCGCCGCUUCACAAUCAAGAUGGAUCCCAGGGUAGGUUCCCCCCAAUGCCCCCACCGCCGAAUUUUAUAAACUCUGAACCCCACCCCGGAGGGGAUAAUAUCCCCGCAGCCUCCGUUCAGAACUCUCCGCCCCCAUCCCCACCCCCACAGGAGCAGCAGCCAAUCAGAAAGCCGUCCAGUCUUAAUAUCCCGAAUCCCGAGUUCCACUAUAACCGGAACAUACCAAUACCGUCGGGCCCGUCGCAGAAUUUCCUGACCUACCCCAACGGCGGACCAGGCUUCAAGAAGGAACCGCCGAUGCAAGUGACCCUGGUCAACCGGCCAGAGCGACCUGCAGGGAUGCUCCAAUCCAUCCUAAACUUCUUCUCACCGCGCCCGCAACAACCCCCAAAACCGCCGAUAAAGAACGUGCGCCCGCCCCCUAUGCCAAUCGGCCUGAAACAACCCUCCAACGAGCCGUUCCCAUCGGCAUCGUCCGACUUCGAAUACGAGAAACCACCCCCCUUCCCUAAUCCCCCGUACAUCCCCCUGAACAACGACUUCCGCGGGCUCCCGCCAUCGAUGAGCCUGCCCCCGAACAAGAUCUUCAUCUACAACAUCGCCGCCGACCAGAACGCCAAAGCCAACCAGGAGCUCCCCAUCUACAACACCAACCCUCGGAAGCCGGAGGUGAACACGAUCCGACCAAUGCAGCAGUUCGCUAACUUCCGCUACGCCCCGAUGGCGAUCUUCCCGCAGCCGAUCCCGAUGCACCUGAUGCAGCCCUUCAACCGGUUCAACGGACCCCAGAAGAUCAUUCCGGGGAUCAUCCCUGGGGCGAUCAGACUCCCGGCAAACGUCGCCAGCAUCGAGACCGUCAAGAGCCGGCCCGUCGCGUCGUAUCUCGCCUCCAUCGAGUACCCCCAGGAGAUCAUCCAGUCCCCGCUCAUCGACGUCCCGACGAACUACUCGCAUGAGCCCAAGUUAGACAGCACCAACUACCUCAGUACGCCGCGGCCGAUUUUUGUCCCGGAGACUGUCGACAACAGCCUGACCGGCGGCGUCCAGACGGCCACUGUGCCCACCUCCAGCGAGGCUGCGUAUGAGCCUUCUUCGACCCCGUAUCCGGAUUUGAACCCCAGCGCGGGUAAUAUUAUCACGAACCUGACGGGGUCUCCGUUCCGGACGACGACGGACGGGUACACCGGGUUGGAUUUGGUGCAGUCUCAGUCGUACGCGGACUUCGACUGGCCGGUCACGCAGACGUCCACGCUGUCCAGUGAGGACACGACACUGACCGACUACCCGACCACGUACCAGCCGGAGGUGUCUAGCCUUAAACCCACGCAGUUCUUCAACGUCUCUCAGGUAACCCAAUUUUCUAGUCUUCUGCAAAUUUUUUCUUGAUCUUCCAGACGUCCUGAUAGAGCUCUUGUGGUUUUUCAGGUACUUACUGAUC
rnacentral:lncRNA from 1 species